CCUUUGUCCCCCUACUUAGCCCCCCUCUCCUGGUCUUACUUCCCAAUCAGUCCUUUCCAGAACAGGUCCGUACACACAGCUAGCGGUCCCGCUGUUGUGUGUGUGUGUAUCCCAAGGGGGAGUUUUACACAGGUGUGUGAGACACUACUGCGUCUUCGUCUAGCGAGGCCGUCCUUCCAAAUGUCACGGAAACCUGGGCUUCUGAGGCCGACUGGAUCUCAGUGUUAUUACAUGUCUGUCGGUAAUGACGCCACUGUCUGAACCAGUAAGGGGACGUUAACAGGGCUCGUACUCACAAAGCCUCUCAGAGUGGUCAGGCUGAUCUAUGAUCAGGUCCCCUCUUAUUCAUUAUGAUCUAGGAUCAGGUCCCCUCUUACUCAUUAUGAUCUAGGAUCAGGUCCCCUCUUAUUCAUUAUGAUCUAGGAUCAGGUCCCCUCUUAUUCAUUAUGAUCUAGGAUCAGGUCCCCUCUUAUUCAUUAUGAUCUAGGAUCAGGUCCCCUCUUAUUCAUUAUGAUCAGGUCCCCUCUUAUUCAUUAUGAUCUAGGAUCAGGUCCCCUCUUAUUCAUUAUGAUCAGGUCCCCUCUUAUUCAUUAUGAUCUAGGAUCAGGUCCCUUCUUAUUCAUUAUGAUCUAGGAUCAGGUCCCCUCUUAUUCAUUAUGAUCAGGUCCCCUCUUAUUCAUUAUGAUCUAGGAUCAGGUCCCCUCUUAUUCAUUAUGAUCAGGUCCCCUCUUAUUCAUUAUGAUCAGGUCCCCUCUUAUUCAUUAUGAUCUAGGAUCAGGUCCCCUCUUAUUCAUUAUGAUCUAGGAUCAGGUCCCCUCUUAUUCAUUAUGAUCUAGGAUCAGGUCCCCUCUUAUUCAUUAUGAUCUAGGAUCAGGUCCCCUCUUAUUCAUUAUGAUCUAGGAUCAGGUCCCCUCUUAUUCAUUAUGAUCUAGGAUCAGGUCCCCUCUUAUUCAUUAUGAUCAGGUCCCCUCUUAUUCAUUAUGAUCAGGUCCCCUCUUAUUCAUUAUGAUCUAGGAUCAGGUCCCCUCUUAUUCAUUAUGAUCUAGGAUCAGGUCCCCUCUUAUUCAUUAUGAUCAGGUCCCCUCUUAUUCAUUAUGAUCUAGGAUCAGGUCCCCUCUUAUUCAUUAUGAUCUAGGAUCAGGUCCCCUCUUAUUCAUUAUGAUCUAGGAUCAGGUCCCUUCUUACUCAUUAUGAUCUAGGAUCAGGUCCCCUCUUAUUCAUUAUGAUCUAGGAUCAGGUCCCGUCUUAUUCAUUAUGAUCUAGGAUCAGGUCCCGUCUUAUUCAUUAUGAUCUAGGAUCAGGUCCCCUCUUACUCAUUAUGAUCUAGGAUCAGGUCCCGUCUUAUUCAUUAUGAUCAGUAGUAGUGCUGUUCUAGGAUCAGGUCCCCUCUUAUUCAUUAUGAUCUAGGAUCAGGUCCCCUCUUACUCAUUAUGAUCUAGGAUCAGGUCCCGUCUUAUUCAUUAUGAUCAGUAGUAGUGCUGUUCUAGGAUCAGGUCCCCUCUUAUUCAUUAUGAUCAGUAGUAGUGCUGUUCUAGGAUCAGGUCCCCUCUUAUUCAUUAUGAUCAGUAGUAGUGCUGUUCUAGGAUCAGGUCCCCUCUUAUUCAUUAUGAUCAGUAGUAGUGCUGUUCUAGGAUCAGGUCCCCUCUUAUCCAUUAUAACCUAAAGCCAAAACUGAUGCUAGAUCAGCACUCCUGUUCUGAGAUGCUUUGUGAACACGGCCCUGAUAUCUUAGAGCUGUGAUGUGGUGGCCAACUCUUGUCCUGGGGAGGUACGCUCCUGCAGGGAUUUGUUCCGGUCUUUGUUUUUCUGCUAUCCUCUCGUUUUGAGAAAGUGUAAAUAAAUAAAUACCUUUUAUUUCA